AAUGGUGCGGAUUUCUUGAUUCAAGCCAACACAUGUAAGCGCUUAAAACCUCACGAUGAUAACGAUGAUGUUUUUGAACGUGCUGAGGUUGUUACUGAAGGAAGACAAACUAGUUUGGAGACAAAAAAUAAUGUUGAUGCAAAUAGAAAGAAAUCUGGUCGUGGAAGAGGGAGUUCUGGUUCAAGCAGAGGCCGUGGUUCCAAAUCUAAUGAUCAGACCAGAACACAAAUUUCUUCUUCAACAGUUUCGGCUUCAAAUGGUCAGAAUGAGAAUGAUGGUAGACUCAAAGAUCCGUUUCGUAAUGAUAAUGGUGCUUCAUUAGAGGAGGAGAUUGCAUCUUUACGUGCAAAAGUUGUUGUGUUGGA